GUGAGGAAUAUUGCGCAAUGGAGGCAACUCUGACGCAGCCAUGCCGCGUGCAGGAAGAAGGCGCUACGCGUUGUAAACUGCUUUUAACCGGGAAGAAACCCCAGGACGUGUCCUGGGUUGACGGUACCGGAGGAAUAAGCACCGGCUAACUUCGUGCCAGCAGCCGCGGUAAUACGAAGGGUGCAAGCGUUAUCCGGAUUCAUUGGGUUUAAAGGGUGCGUAGGCGGAGCGUUAAGUCAGUGGUGAAAUCCUGCAGCUUAACUGUAGACUUGCCAUUGGUACUGGCGCUCUUGAGUGCGCUUGAAGUGGGCGGAAUGUGCCGUGUAGCGGUGAAAUGCUUAGAUAUGGCACAGAACACCAAUUGCGAAGGCAGCUCACUAAGGCGAUACUGACGCUGAGGCACGAAAGCGUGGGGAUCGAACAGGAUUAGAUACCCUUGUAGUCC
rnacentral:rRNA from 1 species